ACAUCAGUAGUUCAGUGGUUAGAAUUUCUGCCUUCCACCUCAACGUGUGUGAUUAGCAGAAGGCCCGUGUUCGAUUCACGGCUGAUGUA